rnacentral:rRNA from 1 species
AAUAGAUACCCGGUAGUCCACGCCGUAAACGAUGAGUGCUAAGUGUUAGAGGGUUUCCGCCCUUUAGUGCUGCAGCUAACGCAUUAAGCACUCCGCCUGGGGAGUACGGCCGCAAGGCUGAAACUCAAAGGAAUUGACGGGGGCCCGCACAAGCGGUGGAGCAUGUGGUUUAAUUCGAAGCAACGCGAAGAACCUUACCAGGUCUUGACAUCCUCUGCCAACCCUAGAGAUAGGGCGUUCCCCUUCGGGGGACAGAGUGACAGGUGGUGCAUGGUUGUCGUCAGCUCGUGUCGUGAGAUGUUGGGUUAAGUCCCGCAACGAGCGCAACCCUUGAUCUUAGUUGCCAGCAUUUAGUUGGGCACUCUAAGGUGACUGCCGGUGACAAACCGGAGGAAGGUGGGGAUGACGUCAAAUCAUCAUGCCCCUUAUGACCUGGGCUACACACGUGCUACAAUGGAUGGUACAAAGAGCUGCGAACCCGCGAGGGUAAGCGAAUCUCAUAAAGCCAUUCUCAGUUCGGA